CAGCCGUAAACUAUGCGCGUUAGGUGUAUCGGUGACCACGAGUUACCGAGGUGCCGAAGGGAAACCGUGAAACGUGCCGCCUGGGAAGUACGGUCGCAAGGCUGAAACUUAAAGGAAUUGGCGGGGGAGCACCACAACAGGUGGAGCCUGCGGUUUAAUUGGAUUCAACGCCGGACAUCUCACCGGAUAAGACAGCUGAAUGAUUGUCAAUCUGAAGGUUUUACAUGACUAGCUGAGAGGAGGUGCAUGGCGUCAGUGACU
rnacentral:rRNA from 1 species